rnacentral:rRNA from 1 species
CACGUAGGGUGCGAGCGUUGUCCGGAAUUAUUGGGCGUAAAGAGCUCGUAGGCGGUGUGUCGCGUCGGCCGUGAAAACCUGCAGCUUAACUGUGGGCUUGCGGUCGAUACGGGCAUCACUGGAGUUCGGCAGGGGAGACUGGAAUUCCUGGUGUAGCGGUGAAAUGCGCAGAUAUCAGGAGGAACACCGGUGGCGAAGGCGGGUCUCUGGGCAGUAACUGACGCUGAGGCGCGAAAGCCAGGGGAGCAAACGGG